rnacentral:rRNA from 1 species
GAUGAACGCUGGCGGCGUGCCUAAUACAUGCAAGUCGAGCGAACAGACGAGGAGCUUGCUCCUCUGACGUUAGCGGCGGACGGGUGAGUAACACGUGGAUAACCUACCUAUAAGACUGGGAUAACUUCGGGAAACCGGAGCUAAUACCGUAUAACAUGUUGAACCGCAUGGUUCAACAGUGAAAGACGGUCUUGCUGCCACUUAUAGAUGGAUCCGCGCCGCAUUAGCUAGUUGGUAAGGUAACGGCUUACCAAGGCAACGAUGCGUAGCCGACCUGAGAGGGUGAUCGGCCACACUGGAACUGAGACACGGUCCAGACUCCUACGGGAGGCAGCAGUAGGGAAUCUUCCGCAAUGGGCGAAAGCCUGACGGAGCAACGCCGCGUGAGUGAAGAAGGUCUUCGGAUCGUAAAACUCUGUUAUUAGGGAAGAACAAAUGUGUAAGUAACUAUGCACGUCUUGACGGUACCUAAUCAGAAAGCCACGGCUAACUACGUG